rnacentral:tRNA from 2 species
GGCGGCAUGGCCGAGCGGUAAGGCGGAGGACUGCAACUCCUUGGUCCCCAGUUCGAAUCUGGGUGUCGCCU